AUGUCGUGAUGAGGGCACUUUCUCAGUAAUUCCUUGAACCUCUCCCAUGCUUCAUACAAUGAUUCCCUCGUCAGUCUGGAAGAAUUUAUUAAUCUCCCCUCUCAACCU